AAAGGAUUUAGCAACCUUCAACAGAGCGAGCUGAACAACAAAGAAAAAGAGAUUUCCUGGGAUCCCAAAGGCCCUUUGUAGGCAUGAAGGUUAUGGAGACGACCACCAAAAGAGGAAAGGCACGAAUCUCAACAGCCACCUGAGUUGUUUCCACUGGAAAUAGGCUUCCAUACAAGUGGCAAAACAGAAGAAAUAAAGCAACAGUGAAACAAAUGUAAACGUAUUUCAUCCUCGUGAUAGAAUUACAGAAUCAAAGAAUUGCUCAGGUUGGAAAAGACCUUCAAGAUCAUUAAGUCCAACCACAACCUAACCAUAUUACCCUAACUCUAACAACUCUCUGUUACAUCAUGUCCCUGAGCAUCACAUCCAAAUGGUUUUUAAACACGUUCAAGGAUGGUGACUCAAUCACCUCCCUGGGGAGCAUAUUCCAGUGCUUCACAACCCUUUCUGUAAAGAAGGUUUUCCUGAUAUCCAAACCAAGCCUCCCCUGGAGCAACUUGAGGCCAUUUCCUUUCGUCCUG
rnacentral:lncRNA from 1 species